rnacentral:rRNA from 1 species
AACUUUCAACAACGGAUCUCUUGGCUCUGGCAUCGAUGAAGAACGCAGCGAAAUGCGAUAAGUAAUGUGAAUUGCAGAAUUCAGUGAAUCAUCGAAUCUUUGAACGCACAUUGCGCCCGCCAGUAUUCUGGCGGGCAUGCCUGUUC